rnacentral:rRNA from 1 species
UUAAAUGGCCGCAGUAUAUUAACUGUGCUAAGGUAGCAUAAUCACUAGUUUUUUAAUUGAAAGCUGGAAUGAAGGGUUGGAUGAAAAAAAAACUGUCUCUUAAUUAAGUUAAAUUGAAUUUUAUUUUUAAGUCAAAAAGCUUAAAUACUGUUAAAAGACGAGAAGACCCUAUAGAGUUUUAUAUAUAAAUAUAUUUUUUUGUUUAGCAUUAAUUUAGAUAAUAUAUUUAUUUAUUUAAUUGGGGUGAUUAAAAAAUUUAAUUAACUUUUUUUUUAUUGAAAUAUUUUUAGAUAAUUUCUUGAUCUUUUUUUAAUGAUUAUAAGAUAAAAUUACCUUAGGGAUAACAGCGUAAUUUUGUCGGAGAGUU